rnacentral:rRNA from 1 species
UACGUAUGGUGCAAGCGUUAUCCGGAUUUACUGGGUGUAAAGGGAGCGUAGACGGUGAAGCAAGUCUGGAGUGAAAACCCGGGGCUUAACCCCGGGAUUGCUUUGGAAACUGUUUAACUGGAGUGCAGGAGAGGUAAGCGGAAUUCCUAGUGUAGCGGUGAAAUGCGUAGAUAUUAGGAGGAACACCAGUGGCGAAGGCGGCUUACUGGACUGUAACUGACGUUGAGGCUCGAAAGCGUGGGGAGCAAACAGG